GCUCACGGCAACGCCGGAUCCUUAACCCACUGAGCAAGGGCAGGGACCGAACCCGCAACCUCAUGGUUCCUAGUCGGAUUCGUUAACCACUGCGCCACAACGGGAACUCCUGUGUUCAUUUCUUGAUUUUGUUUAUGUUUUUCAUGCCACAAUUGCUAUUUUUACCUGACAAAAUUUGUCCCUUUUCCUUUGUUGCUUCUGGAUUUUACCUCAAAGGAACGUUUUUCCCAUUUCCAACUUAUAAAAUAAUGACCCGUGUUUUCUCCUAAUACGGAGGUACGGUAUGUAUGUAUGUAUUCUACAGACCCAUUUAGAAUUUAUGCUGGCAUGCAGCAUGAGACAUAAUUUCAUUUGUAUGUUUUUCUAUAUAACUAAACAGCUUUCCAUUAGACAGUCCAUUUUUUUUUUUCCAUACCGAUUUGAGAUUCUGCUUUCUGUAACAUUCUAAAUGUCUGUAUUCAGUUUGGUGUGUUUUUGGAUUUUCAUUUCUUUUUCUAUUGCUCUAUCAAUUCAUGUGCCGACACUGAAGGCUUUAUAAUAUGUUUCAAUAUCUAUUUAGCCUGUGUCUCUGCUCUGCUGUUUUGUUUUGCUUUGUCUAUAGUGUUUCCCUGGAUAGUCUUGCUUGUUUGUUCUCUCAAAUAAAACAUAUAAUCAACUUACCCAGCUCUGGGGAAAAAAACAAUAUACAUUUUUUUAAUUGGGAUUAUAUUAAAUUCAUGAAAUCACUUAGGGAGAACUGACAUUUUCCUGAUGCUGAGUUUUCCUAUCCACAAAUGUGAUGUGUCUUUCCAUUUGUCCCAUCCCAUUGCUGUGUCUUUAAGGAGUAUUUGAUAGUCUAUAAACUUUUUGGCCAUCUUACAAUGUAAAGAGUAAGGCUUUUCUUCUCCCGUUCCACACACAACUUCCAAGCACAUGUAUGUGUUGAGACUCAUCCUUUCAUUUUUGUAGCCAUGAUCAUUUAACCUUGAUUUGGCUUUUCUCAAAAUUUGAGAGGUAGAAGAAUUGCAUGCAGAAGGGUAAAAGUAGAAGCUUGGGGGUUAGCCUGCCUUUGGUUUCGAUUUGGCACUGUCAUUUAUCAGCUCUGUGAUCAUGGGCAAAUCCUCAUUGGCAAAAUAGAGAUUUUCGCCUUUUAUCGUAAUAGGGACUGAAAGGGAUAGUAAAGCAGCUAGCACAGUGCCUGGCUUGAGUAAGAGCUCACUUUCAGUGGUCGUUGAUGUUUUGGGGCACAAAAUCGUCUUAGUCUCUCCUGGCCAUGAAGAAUUUCCAGCAUGGAUUGAAAACUCUAACACUGACUGGCUUUCUGCAUGUGUUUGAAACCUAGGCGUCUUGUACACCUACACAUAUAGUUAAAAAAUUCCAUCCAUCUUCUGUCUAUGUUAGUUUCAUUGAUGCCUGGCAGUACCAUGCUGUUUUGAGCUCUUCCUUUUCCCCAUGAGUUGGCAUUUUUUUAAGACUUUAUAUUUUGUCUCAUUUUUACAAAAUGCUAGAAUAACCUGCAAGUUGUGGCAGAAGCUUUGUGCAUCUCAACAGUGAUGGAUCGUCUUUUUGGGAAGCCAUCAAUCAAGAGCAGCUAACAAGCAUGUGGAGUGGGGCAGGAGUGGGAGGGGCUCCGAAGGUCACUUUCCUUGGUUCGCUGGGCACUUGCCGUGAACCCUUUUGAUUGAUGUUGUGGAAAUUUAUGCUGAUUGCAUCGCUAUUUCAGGGAAGGGUUGACUUGCUUUCCCUGAGCAGAUCUCUGAUUUCAGUUGAAGAUCAGCAUUCUAAACCUUAGAAAGUGCAUGCAGGCAGCAACAUUGAUUGAGCACCCCCUGUUUACUGAGCACUGAGCAGCAGCGUUCCAAGUAAGUAGAUGAGCUUGUGAGGGGCUGUUCCUGGCUACAGGGCUGGGUUAGGCAUGGCCCUGCUCUGGGGACAUGGGCCUGGCUGACUGGUGAAUUAACAGAUUCCAGGAGGGUGGGUUGGUGUGUACUUAGUGACUCUGGCGGGCGAGGGGCUGGGAGUGCUGGUUCCCCGGGGAGAGUCAUUGCAGAGACCGAGGUAGGAGCAGGAAUGCAGUUGGCGUCUUUUACUGGAGAACAGGGAAUGGAGUUUGGCGCUGUGGCCAGCAGAGCAUGAAGAGGCAGUCUGUGGUCUGAAGGCCUUGGUUGAAAGCCAUGGAAACUGAGCAGAUGGUGGACUAGGAGGUAGGCCAAGAUCAGAGGCAAGUGGCCAGCAUUUCUCUUGGGAGUGGGUUGUGAUGACAGGGUGUGAGGUGCUGUGCCACCUCUUUCACUGAGCGGCACAGGACAUCCCUGGAGUCAAGCCAUAAGACGCUGUCCCUCAUCUUAAAGAGACCCCAUCGGCAGGGUCAAAGAGACUUGGUGCCUGGGCGGAACAGUCUCCAUCCUGUACAAGCAAACCUGCUGUACCCAGUGGGGACAAAAUCGUGUAAUAAUAAGAGCACCUUCAUUUAUUUAGUGCUUUCGCUACUGCAGACUUUCUCCUCUUUUACCGCACAUGUAUAAAGUGAUGCCCUUCCUUUAGGAAGACAGUGCCAGUGGCUUCCCAUUAACUCUGUCCUUGGCACUGUUUUCCCAGAAGUGUUUGUGAGCUUGGGUUGAUUAAACCACACUUGUUGGGUUCCUGGUAACCUGUAGGAGUCAGCAGUGUCAGAGUGAAACUGUCUGUGGUCUCUUCCUCCCAUUUCUGUGACAUGUGCCUUUAUUCAAAGAAAAAUUCUUACGGCGCACCUGCUAGGUAGCAGGCACUGCUUUAGUGCUGUAGACGUCUGAAUAUCGAUCUAUAAAAGGUAGACCUCUUUGUUUAUCAUCCUGUAAUGUCACCUCUUAGCCAAAGGUCAGACUGAUGGCAGCCUCAACCACUCAGAACAUACCUGGGAGAAAGGCGAUGAGAGAGGCUUGAAGCUGAAGACGGCCGAAGACUUUAUUCUGCAGGAGAGGCAGAAUCGCCCUCAGGCAGUUUCUCAGAACAACCGUGUGUGUGUGUAACGGAGCAGAUGAUCUGACUGCAGCAGGACUCACUGACCGUGGGGGGGUGGGGGAAUGAGACCGGACAGCAGAGGGAGGAGACGGGAGAACUCUGGAGAGCAGAAUAAUUGCGUUUGAAUUCUCCCUCGUUCUUCAGCACAAUGACCUGAGCCGUUUGGUUCAGGAGUAAACAGCCGCAAGGGCUACAGUAGCCUUCGGGGGCACCGUGUAACCAGCACCAUAGCUGAUGAUCGUGAUGCUCCCGCUCAAACGCGCAUAGCCUUUCUGUUUUCUUAAACCCAAUUCUUUACAUUAUGUGCAACACUUUGUCAGGUCAACACAAAAUCCCUGUGGAGGGUGCAUCUUUACCUGUCUGACGGGGUCAUAUCGACAUUCACCUGAAACUGACAAAAUAUUGUCAGUCAACUACACUUCAGUAAAAAACGAAUCAUCUGGAGCGUUUGUUAAAACACAGAUUGCUGUUCCCAUUGUGGCUCUGCGGAAAAUGACCCUGACCGGUAUCCAUGAGGAUGUGGGUUUGAUCCCUGGCCUUGCUCAGUGGAUGAGAGAUCCAGCACUGCCGAGAGCUGUGGUGUAGGUCACAGACAAGUCUCGGAUCUGGUAUUGCUGUGGCUGUGAUGUAGUAGUUGCCGCUUCAAUUCAAGCCCUGCCUGGGAACUUCCAUCUACCACAGGUGCGGCCUGAAAAGCAAAAACAACCCCACCCCCACACAAAACAGAGGUUUCCGGACCGCACCUCUAGAGUUUCUGACUUUGUAGCUGUAUGGUGGGCCCCACUCUGCCUUCUUAACCAGGUCCCACAUGCCGAUGCUGCUGCUGGUCCAGCGCCACACUCUGAGAGCCUCUGCCCUGCGGAUGUGUUUUACCUGGGAUUUCAGAGAAGUUGUGUCACUUAACCAAGGUCACGCGGGUGGCAGAUUGGAGACUCCAAUUUAGAUCUUCUGAGAAUGAGCCAUAGCUCUUUCAAACUAUGUGCUGUUGUUUCAGAUUUCUCACUUGAUAAUUAAGAGAGGGUUUAAUACAUUUUAGAUUUUCAUCAAAAUACCUGCAGUUCAAAACCUUGACAUUCUGGCUGGUAUCAAAAAGACAGGAGGCGGCAAAUGCUGGUGAGCAUGUGGAGAAAAGUGUGUACUGUUGGGGGAAUGUAAAUUGGUGCAGCCACUGUUGAAAACAGUACAGGAGGCUCCUCAAAACAUUAAAAACAGCACUGUCCUAUGAUCCAGCAGUCACACUUCUGGGUGUUUACAGGAAGGAAAUGAAAACAGCAUCUUGAAGAGGUGUCUGCAUCCAUAUGUUCAUUGCAGGGUGAUUCACAAAAGCCAAAAUAUGGAAACAGCCUAACUGACCAUCCGCAAAUGAAAGGAUUAAGAUGUGAUUUCAUACACACACAUAUAUAUAUUUGUGUGUGUAUAUAUAUAUAUGUGUGUGUGUGUAUAUAUGUGUGUGUGUGUAUAUGUGUGUGUGUGUGUGUGUAUGUUUCAGUCAUGAGAAAGAAGGACAUCCUUCCAUUUGUGGCAACAUGAAAUCUUGAGGGCCUUUUGCUAAAGUGAAAUAAAUCAGGCAGAGAAAAACAAACACUACAUGAUCUUACUUAGAUGUGGAAUCUUUUUUUUUUUUUUUUUUUGCCAUUUCUUGGGCCGCUCCCGCGGCACAUGGAGGUUCCCAGGCUAGGGGUCAAAUCGGAGCUGUAGCCACUGGCCUACGCCAGAGCCACAGCAACGCGGGAUCCGAGCCGCGUCUGCAACCUACACCACAGCUCACGGCAAUGCCGGAGGGUUAACCCACUGAGCAAGGGCAGGGACCGAACCCGCAACCUCAUGGUUCCUAGUCGGAUUCGUUAACCACUGCGCCACGACGGGAACUCCAGAUGUGGAAUCUUAACAAACAAACAAAACACUUUUAUCCAUAUCCUCACCAGCAUUUGUCACCUCUUGUCUUGUUGAUAACAGCCAAACUGGGAGUUCCCAUUGUGGCUCAGUGGAAAUGAAACUGACCAGCAUCCAUGAGGACGCAGGUUCGAUCCCUGACCUCGCUUGGUGGGUUAAGGAUCCAGCGUUACCAUGAGCUGUGGUGCAGGUCACAGAUGUGGCUGAGAUCCCGAGUUGCUGUGACUGUGGCUGUGGCUGGCUGCUACAGCUCUGAUUUGACCCCUAGCCUGGGAACCUCCAU
ensembl:lncRNA